GCCACCCAGCACCUUCAGAGCUGCGUUGGUGCAGGUCUGGUAGGAUCGGCUCUCACUGCUGGUCUCGCUGCCUGGUGUCUCUGCGUGAGACUCUGAACCAUCCUCUCCUGAUGACAGACGAGAGGAGAAAAGAAAGAAUGGACAAAGCUGGGUUCCUCUGGGGGAAGUUGGACUUGAUCUCACCUGCAGAAUCUGGGAAGCAACCGCUGGAGAUUUAUGGCCUCUGGAGGCAGAUUAAUGGUCCCAUUGAACUCUCAGCCUAAAGAUACCCUCCCCACAGCUCAUUAAGCACGAUGUAAUACUGGGGGGAGAUAUCGGCCGGGAGGGUCAAUUCUCAGAGUCAAACUCAUUGAACUCUGAUGCAGGAGAAAGUACGCUGACACUGGGAAUUCAAGGUCGAGAUGGAUAUUGACUGGGAUAUCUAUUAAGGGAGUUGGAAAUUCUCCACAGAGCCCUCUGUACCAGCCGUUGUCAUUUGUCCUUUAAUGAAGAAUGGUGUGGGAGGCUGCCAUUGUUUAAGCAGUUGUCUCCUGUGGCUGGUACCCAUGACGAGGUGGUUUAGGCUUGUGGCAGAGCACACAGCCCCGUGGGUCGGAACCAGUAUUAUUUUAUAUCACCUUCUCCCAGCAGCUCCAGCCAUUGCGCUUGUCAUGUGGAAAAGACAGAUGUGCAUUUUCUUCUCUGGUACCCAGUUUAUAUAUUAUACACAUCCUGGUUCCACAGUCUGUUACCAGAGUGCCACCCUCUGGUCAGCCUGAUAAGCACAGAUCCAGGACGGUUCCCACAGGCACUGACUACAGAGAUGCUGCAGACAACAGACAAGAAGGCAAGUUGUAGAGUACAAGUACAGAAGUGAUUUGGAUGCAGAAAAAGCAAACUAAGUUGUGUCCUUUUUUGGUCUGAUGUGUUUUUCACUUAUUUUGGACAGAAUAUGAUCUUAAGGAUGUAGAUACUCUCAACUAGCAGCUGCAUAUUACAGAAGGACCAUCAAAGGAUAACUGCCAGUUUGUCAGAUGUUCUUCUUUACUGCAUUCAUUUGCACUAAUCAUAGAUGUAUGAAUUAUUAAAUUCCAUGUUUCACUUAUGUAAGUGACAUCAAUGCAAUAUUCACAGACAAGGAUGUGUUUUAUUGGCUGAGCAUUUUAGUCAUGUCUAACUUUACAUUUUCUCUAUAUGUUUCAUAUAUUUUGAUUCCAGGAAAUCAGAUAACUGCCUCACAAGAGCCAUUUACUCCCUCCAAUUAAAACUGGUUAUUACUGCCUUUCAGGGCUUCAGAAUGUCUUUUAUAAAAAUUUUAUUUGGGUCUGUUCUCAUUUCUAGAUUUUAUAUUAUGACACUCUCAUCACUUGAGGAGUGUGGCAUAAUGUCAGAGAAAUGACAAUGAGCAACAAAUUACCUUGUUUUUCUCUGUUAGUAGGAUUAUUAUUCAUGAAAAUCUUUUGUUCAGAAUUCAAGAGAAAUACUGCUUAAAAAACAUAACUGCCUUAAUGAAAACCACCUUUGUCAGUAUGCACUAUCUUUGUGUGAGUGAAUUUGCUUUGCAAAUACCCAUACUGUUCAAUAUAUGUCAUUUUCUAACUAUGUACUACUGUUAUAUACUAUAUAUUACCUUACACUAAUCUAAAGUGUACAAACACUGGACGUGCUAAUACUACCCUAUCGUUUCAGUUGAUCUCUCUUAAUUUUCAAUGUAAAUAUUUAGUCUAGUUCCCUGCAAGUUUGAGGUUGCACUGAUCUUAGAUGUUAGAACUAGUUGUCUAAUUCACUGUUGUAAUUAACUCUUUGCCACUAGACAGCAUCCAUUGUAAAUAAUAAUUUGGUAUGCUCAUAUUGCACAAUGAACAUUUGCUUCAUUGCCAAAGUCUACAAAAUCAUUCUGACCGGAAUUAAUUUAAUGAACAAGGCUCAAUUGACCGGCUAAGAGAUGUGAAAUGUUACAGCAUGCACAUGGAGCGAGGCCUGUGCAAGAUUACUGAUGACAGGCUAUGAGAGGCAGCUGCCGUACAGUCAAACCUCAGGGAACAAAUGCCCAAUUUAAACUUGUUAAGAAUCCAAAUUGUAGAGGUGUGUCUGGCUCUUUGGGUCAAUGAACUGAGCUACGCUGCAAUCUAGAUGGCAUCUGUUUCUGAGGCCCUGUUUUAUGCAAAGAUGACGAUUCAGGAUCCUGCUGAAAACUCACAGAGUGGGUAAACAGUCACCUCUGCAGUACACUGAGUCUAUCCUCAUGCUUCGAGCAAUGACAUCAGUUGUAUGUUAUCUUGUACAACAAUAAAACAACAGCCAGAUUUCUUGAACUCUGUGCAGCUUUUAUCAGAUGGUUAUGUCGCCUUUAUCAUGUUGCAGUAAUAUUCAAGUCCAAGUGAAGAGGGUGAACAUUCUUUUAAAACAAUUUAAUACAGAAUAGCAGACACACACUGUAAGACAGUGUCUGGCUAAAGACCAUGUCUAUUUAUUUCUCCUUUGGGGGAUUUAGAUUUAAAGCUUUUAUUUUUCAUUUCAUAAACUGGAAUGAGAACUGAUUUAACUGCUAUAAAGACAGAGCACGAAGGACGCAUAAAACAUGGUAUUAAAGAUUGGAUUUGAGGUAAAAUCCUGGAGCUCAGCUAGACCUAAUGUUCCUCGAAAGGACAUCCUCCUUGGGCAACUUGUAUCUCAGAAGAGACUCACUCACAUUCCUUUUUUCUCAAUUAUUUGUAACUAUUUACUAGCUGACAGUUCAAUUAAAUUAAAUUAACUAGGCUAUGAACCCUAUGAACUCUAAGUUCAUCUGCCCUUAUAUUCAGGGGCAGAUGAACUUUAUCUAACAUGCGCAUCCAGAACUCUCAUGACUCAGUCUCUGCUGCUUCUCUCUCCUAAGCCUGUGGUGUCAGUGUUCACUGUGAUUUGACCAGACUUCUUUACGAAUACCAAAAGUUAUCGCACUGGCACCUCAUGAAAAAUAUAAUUUACUGGCUGAAAGAGUCAGGGUGCCCCAACUGCACAGUGUUUUCCCAACAUCCCAACAGCUUUCUGGGAAUCAAGAUUAGGUGUAAUUUCAGAUGUUAUAGCGAUUGCCAGGUCUCCCAGAGCAGAACUGAGUCCAUAAACCCCACUUUUUAUAGGCAGUGAGAUAAAAUCUGUCCAUAAAGCAUGCCACAUAUGGAACAGACUAAUCAUUUUCAAAUGAUCAUUAUUGCUUGUGACAGUCUGAGACAAUCAAACAUAAUAUACAGUGUUUCUAAGUGCAAGUAAUGAAUAUCACAGUUUAAAAAAACUGUUAUGUGUGAUAGACUGAGACUGCAAUUAUCCACAAUAGCACAAUUUCUCAUUGUGUAAUUUAAGUGUGACGCACAAUGGAUUGUAAUUGCAUGUUCACAUCACAGUGACAUCAUUCAGUGUGCUGACCGACCUUAUGUCCCAGCUUCACUGCAUGCACACAUUAUUGUAUAUUGUGCAAUGCAUCUCUGUUUUUCUUGUCAAAUUUUCUUUCUUUGAUUGACACAGGUUGAAACACUGUGUUACUGAUGA